AAGGCCUGAUGUGUGUGAGAUUACCCGCUGAAUUUAAGCAUAUAAGUAAGCGGAGGAAAGAAACUAACUAGGAUUCCCUUAGUAAUGGCGAAUGAACAGGGAUCAGCUCAGUGCCAAAUCGGAAUCACUUGUGGUUCUGAAAUGUGGCUUGAAGGCAGUACCAGUGGCAUCGCGGACGAAAGUCUCUUGGAAAAGAGCGUCAUAGAGGGUGAGAAUCCCGUGAGUCGUUCGCCGUUUGUCACGUACGGUCUGCGUUCUAACGAGUCGCGUUCCUUGGGAUUGGAGCGUAAACGGGUGGUAAAUUUCAUCCAAAGCAAAAUAUAUACUCGAGACCGAUAGCACAAAAGUACCGUGAGGGAAAGGUGAAAAGAACUUUGAGAAGAGGGUUAAAUAGUGCCUGAAAUCGUUGAGAAGGAAGCGGAUGCCGCCGUUGCAUAUGCUGAUUGUAGGAUUGCUGCUCGCUCCUGUCUUCUGCUACUCAUUCACAGACCUGGUCGUGUUGAGCAGUUGUUUGGCAGAUGUUAGUGGUGUUUCCUACUUUCAGUCGUCAGCAUCACUGGCUGAGUGGAAAUAAUCCUUGGAUGCUAAUUGGUUCGCUAUCUGUGAAUUGGUUGCUUCCUUGCGAUACUCACUACUCGGUCAGUGAGGAAGUGCGUUUGCUGGUCAACGAGCUUUCUAACUGUCAUUACCCUGCGCUUUUCGAUUCGUCGAGUGGCCAGGAUGUGGCUUUGAGAUUGUUCGCACUUAGUAAUCGCGAUGCUGGCUUCCAACGGUUGCCUCCGGCCCGUCUUGAAACACGGACCAAGGAGUCUAACGUAUGUGCGAGUGUGUGAGUGGCAAACUUAUACGCGUAAUGAAAGUGAGGCCGUAUGGCCAUGUUGGGGUCACCAACAACCGACCUUGAUCUUCGGUGAAAGGUUUGAGUAUGAGCAUAUCCGUUAGGACCCGAAAGAUGGUGAACUAUGCCUGAGCAGGGUGAAGCCAGGGGAAACUCUGGUGGAGGCUCGUAGCGAUACUGACGUGCAAAUCGUUCGUCAGACUUGGGUAUAGG
rnacentral:ncRNA from 1 species